GAUGAACGCUGGCGGCGUGCCUAAUACAUGCAAGUCGAGCGAACAGACGAGGAGCUUGCUCCUCUGACGUUAGCGGCGGACGGGUGAGUAACACGUGGAUAACCUACCUAUAAGACUGGGAUAACUUCGGGAAACCGGAGCUAAUACCGGAUAAUAUAUUGAACCGCAUGGUUCAAUAGUGAAAGACGGUUUUGCUGGCACUUAUAGAUGGAUCCGCGCCGCAUUAGCUAGUUGGUAAGGUAACGGCUUACCAAGGCGACGAUGCGUAGCCGACCUGAGAGGGUGAUCGGCCACACUGGAACUGAGACACGGCCCAGACUCCUACGGGAGGCAGCAGUAGGGAAUCUUCCGCAAUGGGCGAAAGCCUGACGGAGCAACGCCGCGUGAGUGAUGAAGGUCUUCGGAUCGUAAAACUCUGUUAUUAGGGAAGAACAAAUGUGUAAGUAACUAUGCACGUCUUGACGGUACCUAAUCAGAAAGCCACGGCUAACUACGUG
rnacentral:rRNA from 1 species